rnacentral:rRNA from 1 species
AUUGAACGCUGGCGGCCGGCCUCACACAUGCAAGUCGACCGAGUGGCGGACGGGUGAGUAAUGUCUGGGAAACUGCCCGAUGGAGGGGGAUAACUACUGGAAACGGUAUCUAAUACCGCAUACCUUCGGAUGUACCCAGAUGGGGUUAGCUUGUUGGUGGUGGAACGGCUCACCUAGGCGACGAUCCCUAGCUGGUCUGAGAGGAGGACCAGCCAAACUGGAACUGUGACACAGGCCAAAGUCAUAUGGGAGGCAGCAUAGGGGAAUAUGGCACAAGUGGCGGAAGCCUGAUGCAGCCAUGCCGCGUGUAGGAAGAAGGCCUUCGGGUUGUAAAGUACUUUCAGCGAGGAGGCGUUACUCGCAGAAGAAGCACCGGCUAACUCCGUGCCAGCAGCCGGGGUAAUUC